GAAAAUAUUUAAGAAAGGGAUUCAUCCGAAAACGAAACAGUGAAGUUGAUCAACCUGAACCUGUUGCAACAAUACUCCUGUGGAAAUAUAAAAUAUCCAGGAUGACUCUAACUGUGUUAUCUGUGUCGCUGACUGUUGGAAAGGUCAGUCUCAAUCUUGCAGGUAUGACAGUAUCAGCCCCUGCUGCUGCGGUUAUAGCAGGUGUCCUUUGUCUGGGAUACUUUUACAGAGAGCGAUAUCACCGGGAGAAGGAAAGAAUGAAGCACCAGUGAUACCACAGUUGGCCAGUGACUCCAUAGAAGUAAUCCUCUCUCUACAAUGAAUCAGUUUGUCUUUUAAAGGCUCUGGCUCCAUCCACAUGUGUACAUGAUCGACGAGGCAAUGUCAGCUUUAAUUCUAUAUUAUAUCAUGUGUCCUCUACCGGUCAUGUGAAAAAUGAUAUUGGCAAAAAUAAAGUGAACAAAUAAUCAAACCAGUGUCUAAUCUAAUGUUUUGGACAACAAUUUUCUUAAGUAUUUGUGUAAUUGUUGUGUUAUUUCUUAAGAUUGUAGAAAAAUUAAAGUAAU